rnacentral:tmRNA from 2 species
GGGGAUGACCGGUUUUGACAGCGUGUAGAGGCGGUAUGUAAGCAUGCAGAGCGAUGAUGGCUAUGCUCUAUAAUCUCAGACAUCAAAAAUUUAACUGGCGAAAAUAACUACGCUCUCGCUGCCUAACCGAAGUACAGUAAGUUAGCUUUAUUCCUGCCACAGUGGCAGGAACGAGACAUCACCCGAUUGCCCUGCUCCGGGACGUUUCGACAAGGUGGUGCUGAUAAAUCCGGAGCUGGGAACGCCUGUUCUCCGGUGGCGUCCCGAGAUUUCAGGAGAUAAGCUUCAGGUUGGUAGUCCCGGUCCUGCCUGCUGCCGACAACCAAGUCGGGAAUAAGCAUGUAGAAAGCAUAUUGUUUCCGCGUUUGGACGAGAGUUCGAAUCUCUCCAUCUCCACCA